rnacentral:snRNA from 1 species
UAACAGCCUGCCCACCCUG